ACCGCUGCGAACGCUGCGCGCGGAAAAAUCUGUGUUCGGUGUUCGGAGGUUUCGUGAGUUUCGUUCCUGACUUCGCGUACACACUCGCGCCUUCGCACCUCACACAGCUGUUGCGGACGGGCAGCGGUAUGAAGGGUGCUUCGCAAACGUUACGGCAAUGCUAGAAAUUUGUGCCGGAGCUUUUACUUAUUGAGGAGUGCUGGAACUUUUGUGUGCUGCAUGUGCGGACAGGCCUUCAGAGUUUGCAGCAAAGCAAUCAGAAAAUUGUGAAACACCUGUCUCAUCUCAUGCGUGAAGACCUGACUUCGGCAUGUCACUACCAGGAGCAUACGAGACUAGAGAAACCUCACAUGAAGAAAAUGCGCCCGGCACACACAUCACUCAUGGGGACCAAUCAAUGCGGUCAUACAGUUCUAUUGAAGGCCUUGGAAACUGCACUACGAAAUCAAAUCGGAAGAUAUUUGAGCCCUCUGACCAAGCAUACUUUCAACAGAAGAUUGAGGUUCCAUAUACAGGGGAGACAUCCUUCAGCUGGCGCAAACUGUGGGCCUUCACGGGGCCAGGAUUCCUGAUGAGCAUAGCAUACCUGGACCCGGGCAACAUUGAGUCAGACCUGCAAUCUGGGGCCCUGGCUGAGUACAAGCUUAUGUGGGUGUUGCUGUCGGCUACUCUGCUGGGCCUGAUGAUGCAGCGUCUGAGUGCUCGUCUGGGUGUUGUGACAGGCUUGCAUCUGGCUGAAAUGUGCCGGCGUGGCUACCCUCGUUUUCCUCGUAUCUUGUUGUGGAUUAUGAUUGAAGUGGCUGUCGUUGGUUCAGACAUGCAAGAGGUCAUUGGCACUGCCAUCGCCAUUUUCCUCCUUUCAGGUGGACGGGUUCCACUGUAUGCGGGUGUGCUGAUCACAAUAAUAGACACAUUUACGUUCUUGCUGUUGGACAAGUACGGCCUGCGUAAACUUGAAGCUUUCUUUGGGUUCCUCAUCCUCGUCAUGGCAGUCACUUUCGGAUAUGAGUACGUGCGAGUGGCCCCUGACCAGGUACGAGUGGUGGAGGGCCUGUUUGUUCCCUGGUGCUCACAUUGCGACAGCCGGGCCCUCUUGCAGGCAGUGGGCAUUGUGGGCGCUGUCAUCAUGCCGCACAAUCUUUACCUCCACUCUGCACUUGUGAAGUCACGAGAUGUAGACCGUGCUGACAAGGUCCAAGUGCGGGAAGCCAACAAAUACUUCUUUAUUGAGGCCUGUAUUGCACUCCUCGUCUCCUUUAUCAUCAACAUCUUCGUCAUGGGUGUCUUUGCCCAUGGACUCUUCGGCCGCACUAACCUUGACAUUAGGGAUCAAUGCAUGGGAACUGAGUUCCAGGAUGUCUUUGCUAACAACACGAAUCCUGUGGAUGUGGACAUAUAUAAGGGUGGUGUCUACCUGGGCUGUGCAUUUGGUAUGUUCCCACUAUAUGUCUGGGCCAUAGGCAUUCUGGCUGCAGGACAGAGUUCCACUAUGACCGGGACAUACUCGGGCCAGUUCAUCAUGGAGGGAUUCCUGAACCUGCCCAUCAGUCGGUGGAUGCGGGUGCUCAUCACACGGCUCAUUGCCAUUGCGCCCACCAUAUUGUGCGCUGUCUUUGGCAACAUUGAGCAGCUUUCUGGGAUGAAUGACCUGCUCAACGCACUCAUGAGCCUGCAGCUGCCCUUCGCUCUUAUUCCAACCCUCACCUUCACGACGUCGGCGGCAUUCAUGGGCGAAUUCAAGAAUGGAACGUUGACCAAAAUAGCAGCUAGCCUGCUGUCGAUGGUUGUGAUUGGCAUCAACUUGUUCUUUGUGAGCAACUUCGUGCGUGAGAACCUCCCAUCUCACUGGGCCAUCUACCUUGCUGUGGCACUGUUCGGGCUCCUGUACUUGGGCUUCAACCUUUACCUGUUGGCCCGCCUUUUGGUUGUGUUUGGCUGCACGUCACUGCUCCAACUUCCUUUGAUUGGCCCGCACCUCAGGGAGCGCAGUGACCGAAUGCUAUUUAAUGACUCAUCUGAAACAGACGUAUCAUCAUCUCCUGGGGAGCUCAUACCAGUUAGUACCCACUUGUGAAUGAUUGCAUCCUCUAUCGACGAAUCCAUGAAUGGACAAAUUAGGUUGUUGAACUUGCAUUGAAGAGUGUUGGUGGCGUUUCACCAACAGCCACGAAGUACAGCAUGAUUUCAUGCUGCCCUUUUUAUAUGAUCUGUGACUUGAAUCUAUUUGCACAAUUUUAUUGACGUGACUCAAAUCAUUGAUGCAAGAAUAUUUAUUAGUAGCAGCGUUCCUAUGCAACUACAGGAACACUGUGUACAGUCAAUAUAGUAAACUGUCGUGUUCUCAUAAUGUGAAAAGGCUAUUUUGACAAAAAGUUUGCAAUAAUAUAUGGUACUUACUAUUUUAGUACAGUUGUUGCUAGUUGGGAUGUUUAAUAAAGCAUGGAAUUGUGUAAAUGUAUUUAUUUUUAAUAAAGUUAUGACGUUGAUGUUUUUAAAAAAGA